rnacentral:rRNA from 1 species
UACGCUGGCCCGCGUGCCUAAUACUUGCAAGUCGAGCGGACAGAUGGGAGCUUGCUCCCUGAUGUUAGCGGCGGACGGGUGAGUAACACGUGGGUAACCUGCCUGUAAGACUGGGAUAACUCCGGGAAACCGGGGCUAAUACCGGAUGGUUGUUUGAACCGCAUGGUUCAGACAUAAAAGGUGGCUUCGGCUACCACUUACAGAUGGACCCGCGGCGCAUUAGCUAGUUGGUGAGGUAACGGCUCACCAAGGCGACGAUGCGUAGCCGACCUGAGAGGGUGAUCGGCCACACUGGGACUGAGACACGGCCCAGACUCCUACGGGAGGCAGCAGUAGGGAAUCUUCCGCAAUGGACGAAAGUCUGACGGAGCAACGCCGCGUGAGUGAUGAAGGUUUUCGGAUCGUAAAGCUCUGUUGUUAGGGAAGAACAAGUGCCGUUCAAAUAGGGCGGCACCUUGACGGUACCUAACCAGAAAGCCACGGCUAACUACGUGCCAGCAGCCGCGGUAAUACGUAGGUGGCAAGCGUUGUCCGGAAUUAUUGGGCGUAAAGGGCUCGCA